rnacentral:rRNA from 1 species
AGUGAACGCUGGCGGUAGGCCUAACACAUGCAAGUCGAACGGCAGCACAGUAAGAGCUUGCUCUUACGGGUGGCGAGUGGCGGACGGGUGAGGAAUACAUCGGAAUCUACUUUUUCGUGGGGGAUAACGUAGGGAAACUUACGCUAAUACCGCAUACGACCUACGGGUGAAAGCAGGGGAUCUUCGGACCUUGCGCGAUUGAAUGAGCCGAUGUCGGAUUAGCUAGUUGGCGGGGUAAAGGCCCACCAAGGCGACGAUCCGUAGCUGGUCUGAGAGGAUGAUCAGUCACACUGGAACUGAGACACGGUCCAGACUCCUACGGGAGGCAGCAGUGGGGAAUAUUGGACAAUGGGCGCAAGCCUGAUCCAGCCAUACCGCGUGGGUGAAGAAGGCCUUCGAGUUGUAAAGCCCUUUUGUUGGGAAAGAAAAGCAGCAGGUUAAUACCCCGCUGUUCUGACGGUACCCAAAGAAUAAGCACCGGCUAACUUCGUG